rnacentral:rRNA from 1 species
UACGUAGGGGGCAAGCGUUGUCCGGAUUUACUGGGCGUAAAGAGCGCGCAGGCGGUCGGAUAAGUCGGAUGUGAAAGCCCCCGGCUUAACUGGGGAGGGUCAUUCGAUACUGUUCGACUGGAAGGCAGGAGAGGGAAGCGGAAUUCCCGGUGUAGUGGUGAAAUGCGUAGAUAUCGGGAGGAACACCAGUGGCGAAGGCGGCUUCCUGGCCUGUUCUUGACGCUGAGGCGCGAAAGCUAGGGGAGCAAACGGG